rnacentral:lncRNA from 1 species
GGCUGGCAGGCACAGGCCUGACGUGGGUAUGGGUCAUAUCCGAGGGUGGUGCUCUCCAGGGAAGGGCAGUGGCUGGCUCUCUUUGCCCUGUGGGCAAGUGACUUACAGGGAGCUGGUUGCACAAGCAUAAGAAGGGAGCAGAGGACAGCUCUGUCCCCAGCUCCGCUUCUCCUCUCUUUUUGCCCCCUGACGUUUUACCUUGACCUCCUAGGUGGCACGAUUUGGGGAGGUGAUGGAUUGCGGAUGCUGGGUUUCAGGUAACUUUGGGGUCAAGCUCCUUUCUGCAGUGAAUCACUUGGGUCUGCUCUCCCUUAAACAUUUUACAGCACCAGGAAAAUCUCCUAUGCUUGCCUUGGGAUGAGGUUCAAUUACAAGUGACUGGAAGCCCCAUAUCACAGAAGCUUAAAAAAGAGAAGUUUAUUUCUCUCUCGGGUAAAAAUCCAGGGUACAACACUACAGUGUUUCUACAAACAGCGAGUUCUUCCGUGUGUGAAUCCACAUUUUAUGUGUCCCAACAAAUUAAGACAGAAUCUUAUCUUAUCUGAUGCAUCUCAUCAUCGUGAAGUCUGGCAGUUCCAGAAGAAAUAGCGCACAUGUCAAUGAAGCAAAAUGACCUGAAGAAGUGAUGAUGGAGAGCUGUACCCGGUGAUUAAUAUCCGCCCCACAAACCUGUAUCCACUCCUCUCUGUGUUUCCUCCAUUUCUCAUUUAAUUGGAACACAUCCUCCAGUAUUUUCCUGAGAAAAUCCAUGUUUGAAAGAUGAAACACUUCCAUACCUCGGCAACGCUUUGGUCACACUCGAC